GGAGUAACACGUGGAUAACCUGCCUAUAAGACUGGGAUAACUUCGGGAAACCGGAGCUAAUACCGGAUAAUAUAUUGAACCGCAUGGUUCAAUAGUGAAAGACGGUUUUGCUGUCACUUAUAGAUGGAUCCGCGCCGCAUUAGCUAGUUGGUAAGGUAACGGCUUACCAAGGCAACGAUGCGUAGCCGACCUGAGAGGGUGAUCGGCCACACUGGAACUGAGACACGGUCCAG
rnacentral:rRNA from 1 species